rnacentral:rRNA from 1 species
AUGUGCAGGGAUUUUCUCUUCACCUCCAGAAGCAUUGUCCGUCCCGUUGCCAUUGCCAUCGUUGUUCGACUACCGCCUCUACGGUCUCGGGUGCAAGUACCAGUAUGGAUGAUCGUGAGUGGAUGUACACUGGCCACCCUAGUCAGGCUCGGCAUGACCAUUGAAUGGGUGAUGAAGACCAACGAAUUUGUAGAGGCAGCAUUUGCUAGAGGCCAAAGAAAAAGUUGGUGCCCCUGCUUGAAGUGUGGCAACGGUAGAGAACGGUCAAAGAAGACGAUGUGUGUGCACCUGCAGAAGCAUGGGUUUAAGCGUGGGUAUACCCGGUGGACCCUUCAUGGCGAGCCUGAACAUAGCAGAGAGGAGGUGGUGCGUCGGCGAACCGACAACAAUGGUACCGGGAUAGUUGACAUCGUAGCUGACUUCAACGAUGCACGUGAAGAGGGAUCAGAGGAAGAACCGGAGGAGUCUGCGAGGGCCUUCUUAGAAAUGCUGAAUUCCUCACAACAACCUCUUCACGACCACACAAACCAAUGUCAGCUGGAUGCCAUUGCACAAGCAAUGUCUAUAAAGACCCAUUUCAACAUGAGCAGAGAUUGCUUUAAUUCGAUGGUGACAUCUUGGGGUCGCUCUCUCCCCAACGGUCACAAACUGGCUAAAAGUUGGUAUGAAGCGAAGAAAAUCCUUCGUGCACUUAAGAUGCCCUAUGAGCAGAUACAUGCUUGUCCAAACGGAUGUGUCUUAUUUAUGAAAGAGUAUGCCGAUGACAAGUAUUGCGCCAAGUGCAAAGCCUCUAGGUAUGUCGAGAGAGAUCUCAGUGAUGGUACGAAGAAGCAGAGCAAAGUCCCCGCAAAUGUUCUUUGA